AUUGAACGCUGGCGGCAGGCCUAACACAUGCAAGUCGAGCGGAUGAAGGGAGCUUGCUCCUGGAUUCAGCGGCGGACGGGUGAGUAAUGCCUAGGAAUCUGCCUGGUAGUGGGGGAUAACGUCCGGAAACGGGCGCUAAUACCGCAUACGUCCUGAGGGAGAAAGUGAGGGAUCUUCGGACCUCACGCUAUCAGAUGAGCCUAGGUCGGAUUAGCUAGUUGGUGGGGUAAAGGCCUACCAAGGCGACGAUCCGUAACUGGUCUGAGAGGAUGAUCAGUCACACUGGAACUGAGACACGGUCCAGACUCCUACGGGAGGCAGCAGUGGGGAAUAUUGGACAAUGGGCGAAAGCCUGAUCCAGCCAUGCCGCGUGUGUGAAGAAGGUCUUCUGAUUGUAAAGCACUUUAAGUUGGGAGGAAGGGCAGUAAGUUAAUACCUUGCUGUUUUGACGUUACCAACAGAAUAAGCACCGGCUAACUUCGUG
rnacentral:rRNA from 1 species